AAUCCUUCUUACGGCCCGCGCGCCGGCUCCGACGCCCUCAUCAUGGGCGUAAAAGACGCCGGUAAAGCGGCGAUGGAGAUGGCCGGGGUAAAACACAGCGACAUCAAUUUUUUGCAACUCUACGACGACUAUAUCAUCGUCGUUUACCUGCAAAUCGAAGAUCUUGGCUUUUGUGCCAAGGGUGAUGUGAGUUUUUACGAGCGGACCGAUUUUACGUUCAAGGGUCAGCUCCCGAUCCAGACAGGCGGCGGCAUGAUCAACUGCGGCCAACCUUCGACGGCCGGUGGAACACU
rnacentral:misc_RNA from 1 species